AAACUGGAGAUGGCGACCGGCGCACGGGUGAGUAACACGUAUCCAACCUGCCGAUAACUCGGGGAUAGCCUUUCGAAAGAAAGAUUAAUACCCGAUGGUAUAAUUAGACCGCAUGGUCUUGUUAUUAAAGAAUUUCGGUUAUCGAUGGGGAUGCGUUCCAUUAGGCAGUUGGUGAGGUAACGGCUCACCAAACCUUCGAUGGAUAGGGGUUCCGAGAGGAAGGUCCCCCACAUUGGAACUGAGACACGGUCCAA
rnacentral:rRNA from 1 species